AGGGAUCAUACCCUUCUUUUGUAUUGGAGAAAUAUAUCAACUCAAACACUUCUGAGUAUAGUAUUAAUUUUAUUUCCAGUUGGUGCAUACUUGGGUCCUGUAAAGAAGGCAAUAUACAUCUACAGAACUCAAAAUCGUCAAAGAGCAGCAGGGCAUUCCCUGAUAAAUAGGAAAAAUGGGAGCUGCAAAACCAACAGUUCCUACCAUAUUUAAUCUUUCAUUCAAAAAGUGGUGAGCCCUUAUGGUUGCAAGGAGGGCACUCUAAAUACAGCUGCUCUGGUGCCUUGAGGCAAGUAGGCAGUACCAGCACUACUCUGCUUGCAGCAGCAGCACAAAACAAGGUCAGUUAGUAUCACUGCAGUUGCUCAACCAUCUAAGCAGUGGAGGCAAAUAAUUGGGUCCUUCUUGGUGGAAGGGCCCCAAAAAAAUUAACAGCAGAAUUCUACCUUCUUUAAAAAACAUCAACUUUAGAGCAGGAAGGAGGCUCUGGAAACAGAAGAAACCAAGCUUCCCAUAAAUAGAGGUGGAAGAUCUUAUCCAGAGGUUGAUCCAAAAAUGGAACCCCAAGAAGGGUCCAGGGACUGCUUUCUGGUAGCAGUUGAACUCUUCUCCUGCAGUCAGAAAACAGAUUAACUAGAAACAUGUCAGUGACACACCGUUAUUCAGUGUAUUGCUUUUUUUUGGUGUGUGGUUGAUUUAUACAGGGGGAAUAAAGCCUUGGUAGUUGUAAUUCAUGGAAGUAGGUUUAGUUCUGCUAAUUCCAAUCUAAAUUGCUUUGUCUUCCUAAAUGCAACUACACUUACACAGUGCUGUUG